rnacentral:rRNA from 1 species
AUGGCAGCAGCCAGUGCUCUUCUCAUGGCGGCUCUCGCGGUCUUCGCCGCGGCCGCCGCGGCGGCGCUGGACACGUCGCCGGUGCCGUUCGACGCCGGGUACGCGCCGCUAUUCGGGGGCGACAACCUCGUGCGGUCGGCGGACGGCCGGAGCGUCACGCUCAAGCUGGACCGAUACACCGGGUCUGGGUUCAUAUCCAAGUCGGCCUACCGCCAUGGGUUCUUCGGCGCUUCCAUUAAGCUGCCGGCCGACUACACCGCCGGCGUCGUCGUCGCCUUCUACCUGUCGAACUGGGACGAGUAUCCCAAGAACCACGACGAGCUGGACUUCGAGCUGCUGGGCAACCGGCGCGGUCACGGCUGGCGUGUCCAGACCAACAUGUACGGCAACGGCAGCACCGUGCGCGGCCGAGAGGAGCGUUACCAUCUCCCCGUCGAACCUACCGUCGCCGGCGUCCAUCGCUAUGCCAUCGCCUGGACCCCCAACAACAUCGUCUUCUACCUCGACGGCGUCCCCAUCCGCGAGGUGGUCCGCGUUCCCUCCAUGGGCGGCGACUUCCCCUCCAAGCCCAUGUCCGUCUACGCCACCAUCUGGGAUGGCUCCGCCUGGGCCACCGACGGCGGCAAGUACAAGGUCGACUACGCCUACGCGCCAUUCGCCGCCGAGUUCUCCGACCUCGUCCUGAGCGGCUGCGACGCCAGCAGCGUCGCCGACCCCGAGGGGUGCCAGGUCGACCUGCUCACGCACGACGUCGCCGUCAUGGCCCCUGCCAAGCGCGCCGCCAUGAGGGGGUUCCGCGAGCAGUACCUGACCUACACGGCGUGCCGCGACAGGGUGCGAUACAAGACCACCGUCUUCCCCGAGUGUGACGACCUCGCCGACGGCGACUCCAGCUUCCACCUCUGGGGGGAGUCCAAGAAGAGGCGCCGCCGCUCGUCGUCGCCGCUGCAGUACUCUUCCAGCAUGCAGUAG